rnacentral:rRNA from 1 species
GAUGAACGCUGGCGGCGUGCCUAAUACAUGCAAGUCGAGCGAACGGACGAGAAGCUUGCUUCUCUGAUGUUAGCGGCGGACGGGUGAGUAACACGUGGAUAACCUACCUAUAAGACUGGGAUAACUUCGGGAAACCGGAGCUAAUACCGGAUGAUAUUUUGAACCGCAUGGUUCAAAAGUGAAAGACGGUCUUGCUGUCACUUAUAGAUGGAUCCGCGCUGCAUUAGCUAGUUGGUAAGGUAACGGCUUACCAAGGCAACGAUGCAUAGCCGACCUGAGAGGGGGGUCCGCCACACUUGAACUGAGACACGGUCCAGACUCCUACGGGAGGCAGCAGUAGGGAAUCUUCCGCAAUGGGCGAAAGCCUGACGGAGCAACGCCGCGUGAGUGAUGAAGGUCUUCGGAUCGUAAAACUCUGUUAUUAGGGAAGAACAUAUGUGUAAGUAACUGUGCACAUCUUGACGGUACCUAAUCAGAAAGCCACGGCUAACUACGUG